UCCGACGUCCAAAAUGCCAAUUUUUUUGUGGACGUCCUUCAAGAUCUUUGCUAUGCAUCAGGUUGGCCCUCACGGCCAUUCUGAUCCAUUUUCAAGGUUAAACGAGCCCCGAAGCGCACAUACCUCUCUAUUUCGUUGAUUUUUGUGUGCUAUAGCUAACCAUUUUUUGGGUGAUCCAGAUUGCGACAUCAAAAAUGCCAAAAUAUUUUGUGGACGUCCGUCAAGACCUUGGUUAUGCAUCCGGUUGGACCUCACAGCCAUUCUGACCCAUUUUGAAGAUUCCGACGUCAAAAAUGUCAAGAUAUUUUGUGGAAGUCCUUCAAGACCUUGGUUAUGCAUUCGAUUGGCCCUCAUGUGAAUUCAAACCCAUUUUAAAGGUCAAAAGAGCCUCGAAGCGUGCAUACCCCCAUUUCAAAGAUUAUCGUGUGCUAUAGCAAACCAUUUUUUGGGUUAUCCGGAUACCAACUUCAAAAUUGCCAAAAAAAAAUUUGGACGUCCAUCAAGACCUUGGCUAUGAUUCUAGUUGUCUCUCACGGCAACUGCGACCCAUUUUCAAGGUCAAACGAGCUCCCUGAAGAACGCAUAUCCCCUAUUUUGACGAUUUUCAUAUGAUAUAGUUAAUCAUUUUUUGGGUGAUCCGGAUUGCGACGUCCAAAAUGUCAAAAAUUUUGUGGACGUCCAACAUGAUAUUGGAUAUGCAUCCGAUUGUCCCUCACGGCCAUUUGAAUUCAAAAGUGUAACUAUACACGAGAAAAUAAUCAUUAUAAAUUUUCUCUAUUUAAGUUGGUAUAAUUUCUUAAUAAAGGGAUUUAAUUAAAAUUA